UGUCUGGGUUGCCUGCCUGGGGGAACCAAGAAGAUGUUGUUGAAGGCGGGAUCCUCUGGCCACCUUGCUGUACCCUUCCAGCCCUUCACCGCUCUAAGCUUAUCACCUCUAACUGGUCGUGGUGUCUGCUCUGUUGCCCCCUGCAAUUCCUGCUCCAUCCUGCAGCCAGAUGGUCUUCUUAAGGAUUGUUGCUGAAGCUCCAAUACUUUGGCCACCUGAUGUGAAGAGCCGACUCAUUGGAAAAGACCCUGAUGCUGGGAAAGAUUGAAGGCAAAAGGAGAACAGGGUGGCAGAGGAUGAGAUGGUUGGAUAGUAGCACUGGCUCAGUGGACAUAAAUUUGAGCAAACUCCGGAAGACAGUGGAGGACUGAGGAGCCCGGCAUGCUGCAGCCCAUGGGAUCGCAAAGAAUUGGACAUGACUUAGCAACUGAACAAUUCCACUAUAUGAAUAUACUGCCAUUUCUCUAUCCAUUCUCCUAAUGACGGGCAUCUGGGA
ensembl:lncRNA